rnacentral:rRNA from 1 species
GAGUUUGAUCCUGGCUCAGGAUGAACGCUAGCUACAGGCUUAACACAUGCAAGUCGAGGGGCAGCAUUUUAGUUUGCUUGCAAACUGAAGAUGGCGACCGGCGCACGGGUGAGUAACACGUAUCCAACCUGCCGAUAACUCUGGAAUAGCCUUUCGAAAGAAAGAUUAAUACCGGAUAGUAUACGAAUAUCGCAUGAUAUUUUUAUUAAAGAAUUUCGGUUAUCGAUGGGGAUGCGUUCCAUUAGUUUGUUGGCGGGGUAACGGCCCACCAAGACUACGAUGGAUAGGGGUUCUGAGAGGAAGGUCCCCCACAUUGGAACUGAGACACGGUCCAAACUCCUACGGGAGGCAGCAGUGAGGAAUAUUGGUCAAUGGGCGCGAGCCUGAACCAGCCAAGUAGCGUGAAGGAUGAAGGCUCUAUGGGUCGUAAACUUCUUUUAUAUGGGAAUAAAGUUUUCCACGUGUGGAAUUUUGUAUGUACCAUAUGAAUAAGGAUCGGCUAACUCCGUGCCAGCAGCCGCGGUAAUACGGAGGAUCCGAGCGUUAUCCGGAUUUAUUGGGUUUAAAGGGAGCGUAGGUGGAUGGUUAAGUCAGUUGUGAAAGUUUGCGGCUCAACCGUAAAAUUGCAGUUGAUACUGGCAGUCUUGAGUACAGUAGAGGUGGGCGGAAUUCGUGGUGUAGCGGUGAAAUGCUUAGAUAUCACGAAGAACUCCGAUUGCGAAGGCAGCUCACUAGACUGUUACUGACACUGAUGCUCGAAAGUGUGGGUAUCAAACAGGAUUAGAUACCCUGGUAGUCCACACAGUAAACGAUGAAUACUCGCUGUUUGCGAUAUACAGUAAGCGGCCAAGCGAAAGCAUUAAGUAUUCCACCUGGGGAGUACGCCGGCAACGGUGAAACUCAAAGGAAUUGACGG